GCUGGGUUAGCUCUGUGGUUAGAGCUUAGGCAUUGUGACAUUAAGGUCCCGGGUUCGAAUCUGGCCGGAGGCAGAA
rnacentral:tRNA from 1 species